rnacentral:rRNA from 1 species
UAGGGAAUCUUCCGCAAUGGGCGAAAGCCUGACGGAGCAACGCCGCGUGAGUGAUGAAGGUCUUCGGAUCGUAAAACUCUGUUAUUAGGGAAGAACAAAUGUGUAAGUAACUAUGCACGUCUUGACGGUACCUAAUCAGAAAGCCACGGCUAACUACGUGCCAGCAGCCGCGGUAAUACGUAGGUGGCAAGCGUUAUCCGGAAUUAUUGGGCGUAAAGCGCGCGUAGGCGGUUUUUUAAGUCUGAUGUGAAAGCCCACGGCUCAACCGUGGAGGGUCAUUGGAAACUGGAAAACUUGAGUGCAGAAGAGGAAAGUGGAAUUCCAUGUGUAUCUUUUUUAUUUUUUUUUUUUUUUUUUUUUUUUUGUGGCGAAGGCGACUUUCUGGUCUGUAACUGACGCUGAUGUGCGAAAGCGUGGGGAUCAAACAGG